CAGUGUUACAGCUCUUUUAGAAUUUGUCUAGCAGGUUUUCUAGUCUCCACCCCC
rnacentral:snRNA from 1 species